rnacentral:rRNA from 1 species
GACGAACGCUGGCGGCGUGCUUAACACAUGCAAGUCGAACGGAAAGGCCCUGCUUUUGUGGGGUGCUCGAGUGGCGAACGGGUGAGUAACACGUGAGUAACCUGCCCUUGACUUUGGGAUAACUUCAGGAAACUGGGGCUAAUACCGGAUAGGAGCUCCUGCUGCAUGGUGGGGGUUGGAAAGUUUCGGCGGUUGGGGAUGGACUCGCGGCUUAUCAGCUUGUUGGUGGGGUAGUGGCUUACCAAGGCUUUGACGGGUAGCCGGCCUGAGAGGGUGACCGGCCACAUUGGGACUGAGAUACGGCCCAGACUCCUACGGAAGGCAGCAGUGGGGAAUAUUGCACAAUGGGCGGAAGCCUGAUGCAGCAACGCCGCGUGCGGGAUGACGGCCUUCGGGUUGUAAACCGCUUUCGCCUGUGACGAAGCGUGAGUGGCGGUAAUGGGUAAAGAAGCACCGGCUAACUACGUG